CAACAUCCACACCGUAUCUCUCUGUCAUAACCAUCAUAUUAACUAAAGUGUUAUAAAAUAACCUGGGAUAUGUGCGAUAAUUCAGAGCUACACGUAAAGUAGAUGAGACACAGCAUUUAACGAGGUUCGGCUAUGCCUACGUCCUCGGAGAGCAGCAGCAGUAACUUUUCCACUAUGUAAAAUAAUAGGGCUACAAGUUUAGUGUUUACAAUAUAUGUGGCUCACUGAAUUUUCUCUCUAGGAGAAUUUCUCUCUGCUCUCUCUUUCCUCUUUCUUCCUUCUCUUCCUUUCUCUUUUUUCUUCUUUUUUCUUCUUUUUUUUUCUUCCCUUCUUCUUUCCGUUUCUCUUCUUAUUUAUAGGCUGAAAUAAUCACUAUUCAUCACUGUUCACCCGUGACAGACAAACUCUAUCAAAGCCGCCAAAUGAACAGUAAUGAACAGUAAUGAAUAGUUAGUGGGCCCCACACCAAGACUUUUACAACGCCGCCAAAUGAACAGUAAUGAAUAGUUAGUGGGCUCCACAUGUUUAUUCUUUUAUUCUUUUACAACACUCCCCCUUGGAGACCACUAAUGAUAUGUCGGUUGUAUCAUUAAAGACUUGCUUGGAGAAAACCUAGUAAGGUAGAGAACUGAUGGAAAGAAGAGUACAACAAUCUGUAUAGCAUACUUCUGGAUGCUCCCCCUGAUUAAUAUCUCCCUCUGAUGUCUUCAUGACUAUCUUUUGGAUUGAGAAUCUUUCGGAGUGAGUGGAUGAUGUAGCCACCAACAAUUCAUAUAGUAAAUAUAUUUCCAGUGAGCUAUCUCUAUGUAAAUCAUAGAAAUUUUCAGAGUCCGCAUAUCUAAUAACGCUUGGGCUAUUUAUAAGUUCACUUGAAAGAAUAUGCCCAUACAUGGUGUUAUGCGGAAAUAGCAUCAAAUAUACCUCACAUCAUCCCAAAAUGAUGGUGAUGGAGUUGAGCCUUAUCUGGAAAAUAUGAUGUCCGGUCCAACAUACUUCCGGAAAAUCCUUAAAGUGCCCAACGGAUAAUCCUCAUAAAAAUGCUUCAAUACUUUCUUAGUAUAAGCAAGUAUCUCGUUGGCAUAAUGCUCGAUCUUUAAGUCGAGACAAAUAUUUCUGGAAUUCUUGAGAAGCUUUAAUGUGUUGCAAACACAUUAUAAUCAAUAUACUCACUGAGGCAAUUUAUGUACAUUAACAUUGAGUACAGAUUUUGUGCUUCAGGCACAUGUCCACAGACUUGCUUCAUGCAAUUUCAAUCCUUUCAAGGAUUUUGUUUAAAGGGAUUAAACUCUAUGACACAUUAUAUAGCUUUAACCCAGCUAUUUAUACAUCUUUAGGGAAUCACUUCAGGUGAUAUGCUCUGUGCAUUUAAUAACCCUUAAAGAUAACAUGUUGGUCUCCGUAAAUGUGCAAUAAAGGGGCACAAUUGAAUCUAUAAAUAUGGAGAAAACCCAACAUCCCUUGUUUAUGUCAAAAACAUUGUGUCAUACAAAGUAGGUAUAUUCCCUUUUUAUUCCGAACACCCAAGUAUAACUUUUAAUAUUAACAUCUUUUAGGGUUCAUACUGUGGGUUUGUUCUUUCACGUUCAUUCUCAUCUAUAAUGGAAUUGCCUCAUUCUAUUUUGGCCAAUGAUAUUGUCGACAUUUAAUAAUUGAACGUGGUUCCACUCAACACAGCCCAUUGAUGAUUUGAGUAGCUACUCCAAAAUCAAAAAUUUGUCAUUCAUCAAUUUAUGAUCCCACCAUUCUCAUGUGCAUGCGCAUGCAUCAAUUAUAAGCAUUUCUUUGCUUUUGGGUACCCAAGCCACUGCAGGGGGCUUUUAUUAUGUGAGAAUGUAGAUUAUAACCUCCAAUGGAGCGUUAUUUUAUAGCAGGGCGUGGAUAAUCUCCAUUUAGGGAGUUGGAACAUUUAGAACCCAUAUAUCUAUCAUGCUGCAGGCAUGCCACAGAUUAAUACAUACAUGUCAAUUAAUUUAUGGGACUUUAACCCAUAUAAUUUGCUACACAUUAGGCGUGCAUAAUAUCAAUAUUGACAUGUCAAAGGAUUGUCCUUUCGGGACUUCAAUCCACAUCAUUUGCUACGCAACAGGCGAUUAAUACAUACAUGUCAAUUAAUUUAUGGGACUUUAACCCAUAUAAUUUGCUACGCAUUAGGCGUGCAUAAUAUCAAUCUUGACAUGUCAAAGGAUUGUCCUUUCGGGACUUCAAUCCACAUCAUUUGCUACGCAACAGGCGUGCAUCAUAUUGAUCACUGCUAUACCCAUAUUCUGUUCUUAUGGGACUUUAAUUUGUGCAGUGUAUUAUCAAUGUAUCCAACUUACAAUCUGUAAAAUUUGCGUUUAAUAAUUCAUGGAUACAUACAAGCCAUUCUUUUGGAACGGACUUAUCUCCCCAUUUGGUUACCUUUCAAGAUAAAAUAUCAAAUAGGUAUAUAAGCAUAAAAUAACACAAGUAUUGCUUACAUCCUUAGGUGGGAGAAACUUUUCUCAAGUAUCAUUCAAGCUCGUAUCAGCCCAGUAAAUAUAAUGUAGCGCUUGAUGAUCUAGUUAUAUCCUGCAUGAGCAAAAUCACAACUCUUUUCUCUGUCAAAAACAAAUAACCCUCAGAGUUAGGAUCACUUCAUGGAUUCUUUCUUCAGAUGUUCAUUCUAAAGAAAUAAAAUCUCUUAUGAACAGAGAGUUAUAAAAAGAGAAAAAAUGCAAAAAUAAUGUGAUAUUGAUUGCAAGAGAAGGUAAGCAAUCAAGGAAGGAAGCUGGUGGGAGCAAACGACAAGCUCUCAUUUCUUCUAGUUUAGAAGAACUUCUGGAGAUUAGAGCAUAAGGUUGCCUUCACAGUUCCCUGAUGUGGUGGAAACGUGAUCAGGGAUAGUCUCGCUUCCUGAAUGGAUGAUCAGAGAUAGUCUUGCUUCUUAGGCAUAUUGAGUGCUCACUGAUAAGAAAAACAAGUAGAUAUCGCAUCACUAGGUAUGGAGUAAACUGGAUGUCUUUUGCAAAGAAAAUUUCGUUAGUAACACAUUUAUACACAAAUACAAUGAAUAGGUAGAACCGGUGAAUUUCAAAUUAACCAUAGGAAAAUUGCGAGAUUCUCGGGAUGCUGUUGAAAAAGUGCGAGAUUCUCGAGAUGCUUUUGAAAAAGUAGCUCCGUGAAAUCGGUAAAGCAAGAUCGGCUUUGAAAAUAAUGCUUGAAAACGCCGAAAGUGCCGACAGGCAUUAUUAGAGGCCACGUGAAGUUUUGGACUCUAGGAAAGAAAAAGAUAAUAUGGGGAUUCGAGAAGAUAUUGGGGUCCUGAAAAACAGUAGCCAUAUUUCCUCCUAUAGAUAUGACAUUUGUAAAAUUUGAUUGGAGCAACUGCGUUUCAACUCAAAUUUCUUCAUUUUCUGAAACUUUAGUUUUCCUAAGACUUUCUUCGAAACCUUCUCAAAAAUGGCUUCCUCUUCUUCCUGCCCAAAUUAUUUCAAUUUAAAUGAUGCUCCAACAGCAAACAGUGACGCCAAAGUUUGGCGUCCAUCCUUUGUAUCCAAAAAUCGUCAUCUCACAGUUAAUGAUUCUGUGAUGAUGAAUGAUGCUACUGCUGUCAUAGUAGCUAGGAAUUUCAUUACUCCAAUGGAUGAAAUGCUGUUAACAGGGAGGUCUGAGGAAGAGGCUAUUGAUGACUCAAUGGCUUUUAGCAUUCAGAGUGCUGCUUCUGUUUCUAACAUGGCUGAUCGUUUGCGUGUUAGAGCAAACGAGGUUGAGAAGCUGACAACUGAAAAUUCGUCUCUCCAAAGAAUGCUUCAUGAGUCUCAACAGGAGGUUGAGAAACUUAAAGGAGAGAAUAAUUCCUUGUUGAAACUGGUGAGUUCGUACUCAGUUGAUACACUGAGAAGGCUAGACAUGUUGCAGGUCUCCAAUGAAAGAAUUUUGGGAGACCACGAGAAGCUCAUGGCUAAGCUUAAGAGGCGCCGUCCUCUUCCUUCAGAGGCUUCUAGAACAUAAUGUAAUUUUAUAGAUUUUACAGGGCCUGCACCUUCAUUGCAGGUGGAAAAAAAUCUAUCUGUUGUAUGUUUCUGUAAUAAUAAUUGCGCACAUUCUUAAACUUGCACCUGUGGUUUUUACAUCUUUUCAAAAUGACGGUUUGGAACCUUGUGCCUUAUAGGAUCAAAUAACCACAUUGUCUCUCCCAAAUUGCAUGGUAGCCCGGAACUUUUGGCCUGGGCACAAACUCAGAAUUUAUUUGCCCUUUUCAAAUGGACAUGAAAUAUGAAUUGAGUAAAAGCCACGAUAAUAUCGCAAUAUAGUAGUGAAGAGCAUUAACUACUAUAUACCCACAACUUCAAGUUCAGGAUCUCUCAUAUAUUUGGAUCCAUGGGCUUCCGGCCCAGGUAUAAUAAAAUAUGUGGGGAGCCUCAAUUCAUUAUUUGAGGUUUAUAUUGAUAUUAUCCAUUUCGCGGUGUAUUCUUAACAACCGGAAUUCACAAAAUAUAUUUCUUCCUUGAGGUGUCGAUUAUAACAGAAUCGAACUUUAUUAAAUUCAUCAUCUUCUUAUGCCAAAGAAAUAUGUGGUGUACCACAAUUUGCAAUAAUACCUCAAGGGUUGUCCAUUUAAUUGUUGGAACUUCAGGUUCUCAAUACUCUUAAAUUUUGAACUUCAGGCCAAAGCCACAUAUUCUCAUGGUAUGGACAUUUUUACAAUUUUCUGUACAUAUUCCGGGACUUCAAGCCCUUACAUAAUUGUCCAUAUUUUGAGGAACUUCUGGCAUCUCAUUUAAUUUCUCAUCCAUGAGUUUAAGGAACUGCAGGUUCCCUUUUGUAUAUAGUGACGGUUUAUCCAAAAUGGUUAAUAUUUAUGCAUACGUCACUAUUCAUGUGAAUAGUACUGUUCAUCAAGUCAUGAAUACAUAUCUAUUCAUGUGUACAGUACAUCUGCCAGUACAGUUAUCAUCCAUGGCUCAUAUUUAUGCAUACGUCACUAUUCAUGUGAAUAGUACUGUUCAUCAAGUCAUGAAUACAUAUCUAUUCAUGUGUACAGUACAUCUGCCAGUACAGUUAUCAUCCAUGGCUCAUAUUUAUGCAUACGUCACUAUUCAUGUGAAUAGUACUGUUCAUCAAGUCAUGAAUACAUAUCUAUUCAUGUGUACAGUACAUCUGCCAGUACAGUUAUCAUCCAUGUGUACGGCACUAUGAACCAAUACGGUACUAUUACAUCAUUAAGGAACCCCAGGUCCUUAUUCACAUGUCAGGGAUCAAGGACCUUUAAGUCCAAUCACAUGUUUACAAGUAUAGUACCGGAGAGACUGCCAGCUCUCAUAUCAAUAUCAUCAUCAAGGAUCUUCAAGUCCUGAUGUAAUUGUAUGAUGAGGAUCAAGGAACUUCUGGUCCUGAUCUGCACACUGUAAAAACUCAUCAUACAGCACAAUUAAUCCAUAAAAUAAAUUGCUGAUAAAUAAAUUACUGGUAUGGACGAUAAACCCGCACCAUACUUUAAAUAAAUUAAAUAGCUUGCUGUAUGGACGUUAAUCCCGCACCAUAUCUUAAAUAAAAUUAAAUGUGCGGUAAAGUAAACGUGCUUAUAUGAGCAUUAAUUCUGCUCCAUACAUAAAAGCAAAGGCGUGGGCGAUAAACCCGCACCACCCUUUUAAAUAAAUACUGUUGUAUGGGUAAUAAACCUACACCAUACAGUAAAUAAAAAAAAUGUGGGAAUAAAAACCACCACUGAACAAGAUAAGGAAAGUGUUAGUAUUAGUAACGGUCUCCCACUGAUAAUAUGUUUAGUAUUACCAAGGGUCCAUUUUUGUUAAUGGUUAGUAAUAGAAAAGCAGAUAAAUAUAAUAUAUUAUAUUACCAUCAACUUUUCAUAUAUAUAUAUAAUAUAUAUAUGUAUAUUAUACUGAUAUAUUAGUGGAAAGCUAGAUGCGUUGGCUUUUCUUCUUUACAUCAACAUAAUGGUUAGUAUUAUAAAUAAUAGUGCAGCACAAAAAUUAUACCUGAGAGCUUCUCGUGCUGAUAACGUGUUAUAAAAUAACCUGGGAUAUGUGCGAUAAUUCAGAGCUACACGUAAAGUAGAUGAGACACAGCAUUUAACGAGGUUCGGCUAUGCCUACGUCCUCGGAGAGCAGCAGCAGUAACUGUGCACCAGUUGAGCAAUAUAAUGGUUUUUCUGGAGAGGGGAGGUGCAGCUGCACCUCCUUGCCCCUUACUAGGUCCGCCAAAGGGGUCUAAGUUGGGUAUUUUAAAAUGUGAAAGGUUUUAGCGCAUUGAGCGCAUUGAAUCUAACUUAACUAUGUUUAUAUUCUCCUUCUCGUUUGGGUUGUUCAAUGACAUCAGAUUUCGACCCCAAAAAAAACAUAAUAUCAUCUAAUAAGAAAUUAAAGAAUACAUACAACUUUAUGAUGUCAUUUUUAAUUUCAAAAUUAUUCCAAUUGGAAUUUGUCGGUUUCUAAUCGUAUUUGUGUUUACCCAAGUUAAAAAUUGUGCUCAUGCCGACCCAACAUCCACACCGUAUCUCUCUGUCAUAACCAUCAUAUUAACUAAAGUGUUAUAAAAUAACCUGGGAUAUGUGCGAUAAUUCAGAGCUACACGUAAAGUAGAUGAGACACAGCAUUUAACGAGGUUCGGCUAUGCCUACGUCCUCGGAGAGCAGCAGCAGUAACUUUUCCACUAUGUAAAAUAAUAGGGCUACAAGUUUAGUGUUUACAAUAUAUGUGGCUCUCUGAAUUUUCUCUCUGCUCUCUCUUUCCUCUUUCUUCCUUCUCUUCCUUUCUCUUUUUUCUUCUUUUUUCUUCUUUUUUUUUCUUCCCUUCUUCUUUCCGUUUCUCUUCUUAUUUAUAGGCUGAAAUAAUCACUAUUCAUCACUAUUCAUCACUGUUCACCCGUGACAGACAAACUCUAUCAAAGCCGCCAAAUGAACAGUAAUGAAUAGUUAGUGGGCCCCACACCAAGACUUUUACAACGCCGCCAAAUGAACAGUAAUGAAUAGUUAGUGGGCUCCACAUGUUUAUUCUUUUAUUCUUUUACAAUAUAAAGCUGAAUUUUAGACAUUUUUUGACUUCUUCGGAUGGUGAUGGCAAUAGAUUAAUUUACAAAGGGGAUUUUAAUUAUUCCGUUGGUGAUGGCACAUGGCUAGCUAACAAAGACUUGCCGUUUUCUGUACAUAUUUUUAUGUUCUUAUCUUAAUUUUCUAUUAAUUUGAGGUCCCG
rnacentral:lncRNA from 1 species